ensembl:snoRNA
GAGCUAUGAAGAAGAUUUUAAAGGAAUCUGAGGUUCCACUGAAGACAUAAGAUCCAACUCUGAGCUCACUAGGCUG